rnacentral:rRNA from 1 species
GACGAACGCUGGCGGCGUGCUUAACACAUGCAAGUCGAACGGAAAGGCCCUGCUUUUGUGGGGUGCUCGAGUGGCGAACGGGUGAGUAACACGUGAGUAACCUGCCCUUGACUUUGGGAUAACUUCAGGAAACUGGGGCUAAUACCGGAUAGGAGCUCCUGCUGCAUGGUGGGGGUUGGAAAUUUUCGGCGGUUGGGGAUGGACUGGCGGCUUAUCAGCUUGUUGGUGGGGUAGUGGCUUACCAAGGCUUUGACGGGUAGCCGGCCUGAGAGGGUGACCGGCCACAUUGGGACUGAGAUACGGCCCAGACUCCUACGGGAGGCAGCAGUGGGGAAUAUUGCACAAUGGGCGGAAGCCUGAUGCAGCAACGCCGCGUGCGGGAUGACGGCCUUCGGGUUGUAAACCGCUUUCGCCUGUGACGAAGCGUGAGUGACGGUAAUGGGUAAAGAAGCACCGGCUAACUACGUG